rnacentral:tRNA from 1 species
UUAUUUUGGCAGAUUAGUGCUUUAGAUUUAGGAUCUUUUUAAGUAAAUUUUUGAUUUACAUUUAACAC